UACGGAGGGUGCAAGCGUUAUCCGGAUUUACUGGGUUUAAAGGGUGUGUAGGCGGACUUUUAAGUCAGGGGUGAAAUCCCGAGGCUCAACCUCGGAACUGCCUUUGAUACUAUUGGUCUUGAAUGUUGUUGAGGUGGGCGGAACGGGUCAUGUAGCGGUGAAAUGCUUAGAGAUGACAUAGAACACCAAUUGCGUAGGCAGCUUACUACACGAUCAUUGACGCUGAGGCACGAAAGCGUGGGGAGCAAACAGG
rnacentral:rRNA from 1 species